CACAAUUUAGUCAAAUUUCAUGGGUUUAAUAACAAUAUUUUAAUCAUUCACACUAUUGAAUCAAAUGUCAUGGAUUUAACAACAAUAUUUUCAUCAUUCACACAAUUUAAUCAAAUUUUAUGGUUUUAAUAACAACAUUUUCAUCAUUCCCACAAUUCAAUCAAAUUUCAUGGGUUUAACAAUAAUAUUUCAAUUAUUC
rnacentral:lncRNA from 1 species